UGGGGGAAAGUGUUUCGCACGUUAAUCUGUAAAAUUAAAAGGGAGUUUAUCUCUCCCCCAA
rnacentral:tRNA from 2 species